AUGUUUUAUUUUUUUAAAAAAGAUGACUUUUUACCUCUAAAGUGCACUUUCCACUUGCUAGUUUACCAGUAAAAUGGAUAAAGCAAUCAUUAUAUCAUGGAGGUUUACAUUGUUGUGGUGUUAUUGUACUAUUUGUUGCUCAUUAAUUGUUUGAUUAUUUUAUGCCACAUCAAAGAUGAACACCGAAACUGAAUGCUAGAUUGAUGGCACUAACCACAACGAUAUUUGUUUUUAUUUGAAUUCAUUACCUGUUAUGUAGUGUUGACUCGUCUUAUAUGGAUUUCUCUGAUGGAUGGAAAGAACCUAAUCUAUGAUUCAAAAUUGCCUUGUUCGUUUCCUUUUUAUUAAUUUCUGUCUGUCUGUCUGAUCUCCUCCUGUAGAAAUUUCUGACGUGGACCAAGUUUGGAUCUACUGUAAGUAAAAUCAUCUGGAUUUUCUCUAGUCCAUUAUAUUGAUUACGUUACUUGAUAUUAGAUUCAGCCUGCACACCCCCUCCUGGGGUUUUGAGAUGGAUGGUAGGGAUCAACAUUCAUAUAUGCAAGAGUUCUACCAUAAUGAUUCCUCAAGAUGGAUUGUAAGUGCAGGUCAUCCUGGUCCUUCUCUAUUAAAUUUAUAUGGUGUGUGGGCCUUUCUGCAUGGAUGUUUCGUAUUGAACUUUGUGCUUAUUUUUUACUGGAAAGUUUGCGUACCAUUAUCUCCACUGAGCCUUCUGACAUUUCCUUUUUUUCUGCCGGGAAAAAAGGUCUUCUUGGAUUGAAAUGGAAUUUCUAUUAUACUAUUUUUACGCUUUGCAUGUACCAAGGUGCUGGCCACCCAUAACAAAUUUAGUUAGUCCCUUCCAAUCUAAUUCCAAAACAAGCUUACCAAUCUCUUGCUUUUCAUCUUUAAACAAUUAGAUUCCAUGACACGUACGGGCCAUGCAAUAAGAAAUUAAUCAUCCCACAUUAUGUGAAUGGUUAACAUAUAAAUAAUUGUAAGAGGUUAUCAUCAUGUCAAUUUUAAGAAUCAUAUCAUGCAAAUACAUUUAUUAAAGAAAAAUAGUUUUUUUUCAUUGAAAAAACCUUCUAGCUGAUGGGGAAAAAGAAAUUAUCCUUAAAAAUAGCAAUUUAUGAUAAUCAAGUCCCUUCACAAUAUAUUA
rnacentral:lncRNA from 1 species